CCUACGGGUGACAGCAGUGAGGAAUAUUGGUCAAUGGACGAGAGUCUGAACCAGCCAAGUAGCGUGAAGGAUGACUGCCCUAUGGGUUGUAAACUUCUUUUAUAUGGGAAUAAACUGUUCCACGUGUGGGAUUGUGUAUGUACCAUAAGAAUAAGGAUCGGCUAACUCCGUGCCAGCAGCCGCGGUAAUACGGAGGAUCCGAGCGUUAUCCGGAUUUUUUGGGUGUAAAGGGAGCGUAGGGGGAUUGUUAAGGCAGUUGUGGAAGUUUGCGGCUCAACCGUAAAAUUGCAGUUGAACCUGGCAGUCUUGAGUACAGUAGAGGUGAGCGGAAUUCGUGGGGUAGCGGUGA
rnacentral:rRNA from 1 species